AUGCUAUUGUUCAAAUGUAGUCGAGCCGGGCUUUUGGUGUUUUUGGUGCUAUUGUUCAAAUUUUGCUUUCUUAGAUUCAUUGCAACCAAAAGAUUUGGUAAUAUUUUUUUUCUGGAAACAUGGAUACACUUGUUGGUGUUGUAUACUGGAAUCUGGUGUUGUAUACAUGGAUACACAGCUAUAUUCAAAUGGAUCAUAGGCCCAAUAAAACAUCAUUUUACUUCAAAAUCUAAUAUACGUUUUAUUUAUUUUCCUGUUGCAUAUACAGGCAACUCUUCCUGUUGCAUCAAAAGUAACUUGCUUCGUACAUGCAAACUAAUUAGCCAUAUAGUUAAAUUAGCUACGUAUUAA
rnacentral:rRNA from 1 species